GAAUGUCUCUACGAAGAGUUCUACAGUCAGGGUGAUAUUGAAAAGGAGAGAGGGGAAACCCCUAUUCAGAUGCUGGACAGAGACAAUCAACCUAACCGUGCACAAGAACAGAUUGAGUUCCUGACCAAUGUCUGCCUGCCAUGCUUUAGUGAUAUAGCGGACAUGCUGCCUGAAUCUCAACCUCUCUUGUCAGGA